AGAGUUUGAUCCUGGCUCGGGAUGAACGCCGGCGGUGUGCCUAAUACAUGCAAGUCGAGCGCACUGGCCCAACUGAUAUGACGUGCUUGCACUGAAUUGACGUUGGAUUCCCAGUGAGCGGCGGACGGGUGAGUAACACGUGGGCAACCUGCCCUGAAGCGGGGGAUAACAUCUGGAAACAGGUGCUAAUACCGCAUAACAACGAAAACCGCAUGGUUUUCGUUUCAAAGAUGGCUUCGGCUAUCACUUCAGGAUGGGCCCGCGGUGCAUUAGCUAGUUGGUAAGGUAACGGCUUACCAAGGCGAUGAUGCAUAGCCGAGUUGAGAGACUGAUCGGCCACAAUGGAACUGAGACACGGUCCAUACUCCUACGGGAGGCAGCAGUAGGGAAUCUUCCACAAUGGGCGCAAGCCUGAUGGUGCAACACCGCGUGAGUGAAGAAGGGUUUCGGCUCGUAAAGCUCUGUUGUUGGAGAAGAACGUGCGUGAGAGUGACUGUUCACGCAGUGACGGUAUCCAACCAGAAAGUCACGGCUAACUACGUGCCAGCAGCCGCGGUAAUACGUAGGUGGCAAGCGUUAUCCGGAUUUAUUGGGCGUAAAGCGUGCGCGGGCGGUUGUUUAGGUCUGAUGUGAACGUUCGGCUUAACCGAGGAAGUGCAUCGGAAACCGGGCGACUUGAGUGCGGAAGGGGACAGUGGAA
rnacentral:rRNA from 1 species